rnacentral:rRNA from 1 species
CAGCAGCCGCGGUAAUACGAAGGUCCCGAGCGUUAUUCGGAAUCACUGGGCGUAAAGGGAGCGUAGGCGGCGCGGUAAGUCAGAUGUGAAAUCUCAGAGCUCAACUCUGAAACUGCAUUCGAUACUGCCGUGCUAGAGUAAUGGAGAGGUAACUGGAAUUCUCAGUGUAGCAGUGAAAUGCGUAGAUAUUGAGAGGAAGACCAAUGGCGAAAGCAGGUUACUGGACAUUUACUGACGCUGAGGCUCGAAGGCUAGGGUAGCGAAAGGGAUUAGAUACCCCUGUAGUCCUAGCAGUAAACGAUGUGCGCUUGGUGUGGGAGGGUUCGACCCCUUCCGUGCCGGAGCUAACGCGUUAAGCGCACCGCCUGGGGAGUACGGUCGCAAGACUAAAACUCAAAGAAAUUGACGGGGACCCGCACAAGCGGUGGAGUAUGUGGUUUAAUUCGAUGCAACGCGAAGAACCUUACCUAGGCUUGACAUGUAUCGCUAAGCUGCCGAAAGCAGUGAGCCUUCGGGCGCUUACACAAGUGCUGCAUGGCCGUCGUCAGCUUGUGUCGUGAGAUGUUCGGUUAAGUCCGGCAACGAGCGCAACCCCUAUGAAUAGUUACUAACACGUAAUGGUGAGGACUUUAUUCAGACUGCCCAGAUCAACUGGGAGGAAGGUGGGGAUGACGUCAGGUCAGUAUGGCCCUUACGCCUAGGGCUGCACACGUACUACAAUGCUCAGUACAAUGAGAACCGAUACCGCGAGGUGGAGGAAAUCUACAAAACUGGGCUCAGUUCGGAUUGGAGGCUGCAACUCGCCUCCAUGAAGUCGGAAUCGCUAGUAAUGGCACAUCAGCUACGGUGCCGUGAAUACGUUCCCGGGUCUUGUACACACCGCCCGUCACAUCAUGGAAGCCGAUCGCACCCGAAGUACCUGCGUCAACAAUGGCAGGGUCUCUAAGGUGUAGUUGGUAACUGGGAUGAAGUCGUAACAAGGUAGCCGUA